ACUGUAUGUAGAGCCACAAGGAGCGGCUGUUGCUGUACAACUGCCAGAACAUCUCACACAAUGGCUUCCUGUCAAAAACACUACACCAUGUGACUUUAAUGAUUGAAAAAGGAUUUGAAUCACAUCAACUGGUGAAAUAAGCCAAACAGGAGCAAACUUGGUCCCCCAGAGUGAACCCUUACAUCCACAUCUCAGCAAACAAACAGUUCAUUAGGAAAUAAAACAAAACAGGAGAUCAGGGAAUAGCUGAAAACGUGAUAGUGGAUGACAAACCAGCCAUGCAGAUGGCAUUCAGUGCAGAAAAGUUGCAGAGUUGGCUAGCCUGAUAACGUGUUACCAUCUGAGAUUGGAGCCAAGCAGUCGUUUGGGAUAAGAGUAUAAAGGAGUGAGCAAAUGGGUCAGGGUACCACAGGCGGAGGAUGAGUACAAUUACUCCCAGUUUUUGCAAGCAGUGUUGGCAAAAUUCAAUUUGCCAUGUUCUGCUUCCUUGAGCCUGAAGGAUUCUGCAGGCAUGGAAGUGGAUUCAGACAUAUUUGAUGAACUCUUGAAGUCAUCUGGGGUGUCUUUCAAGGCUGAAGAGUGUAAUAGUGCUGAGGAGGAGUCAUCAGAGUGCUCAUCUUUAUCAGAGUGGUCACCAUCACAUGCAUCCCAGGGCUCAUCAUCAGGCUCAGUAAUACUGGAAUCUACCAAAGCUCGGAAAAGACAGCUAGUUGAAGGACCCCCCCCCCCCCGAUGCCAAUGUUGCAAGAAAUGAUGAAAUGGAACACAGCAAUCAGCCAGUGAGGAAAGGGAUGGACACACCAAUAACUGAUCUUCCUAGAUUGAUAUUGACCCUGAUGUAUUGGUCUAACCCUACAAUAUAAACAUUGUAGUCACAAUAGAUAUGUUAGUUCUGCAGUUACAGUAGGUAUGCUCUGCACCUUCAGGCUGACGAGCCUGCUAUACUUGCAAUGUGAAUGUCAUGUAAUUGCUGUUUCAGACUGUCAAAGCAGUCCUGUAUUCAAAGCCAGGUGGAGACCAGAUAUUCAAGGAGUACGAGAAAACAAGCACCAUCAGUGAUGUUACAAGAGGAAAGAUGGUGAACAUACUAGUGGCUGACAUGGUGGAGAGUCAUGGAGGGGUCCCUCCAGUGAAUGUGCGCAUUUUCUACACACUUGGGAUUACAAGUCUGUUCCCAAACUUGAAGGACCUGGAUUCAAAUAAUGGUUAUGAACAUUUCUAUGAUCCCCAGAGCGGCUCCGGUUACCUAGCACGGAGGCUGAAAACGGUUCAGCGCAACUCUGCUCAAGACAUCAAGAAAUCAAAGUCCACUUUUCAAGAGGGCCCCAAGACUCUAUGCAGCAUGUGUUCAGUUGAGAAGCAGUUGACCGGUGAUGAAUGCAAGGAAGCCAUGUCGGUGAUGCGACCCUCGUCAAAGAUAAAAUGAAGGCAACAUUCCAGCACAGGCAAAAGGUGGUUCAAGACCCAGCUACUGCCUCUACUGUCCUGGAUCUCUUUUCAAGAUUUCUGGAUACAUCUGGUUUGAUCGACCAAGACUUCACAAGGCUCUUUGGUGAUGAAGUGUCUGGUAAAUUCCUUGCAAAAUGGCCAACCCUCUUCAAACCAAGGGUCAUCACAGACUGCUGCAAAAAUCUACUCCAGAGUCCGCGUGUGAAUGAGAUACUUCUGUCUGCACAACAGGAGUCUGAUGGUGCAUGGCAUUCUGCAGAGUGGGACUCUGAGAUGGCCACCAUCCUUCUGCUGCUUCACCUCUUACCCCAGCCUGUAAGGGCAAGAUGAGCGCAUCAGAUGCUGCUGGACGCCUGAUCAAGUUCAUGAAGCAUGGAGACCUUCCUAAAGGAAACCGGCCUCAAACAGCCCUUUCUUCUUUGUGUCAGAGAAAGGAGCAACAGAUCCAAGAUUUCUACAUCAUCCUGGAACAGAAGGCCAUACCCUGCAGGAUGCAGACCGCAGUUGCCGCCUUCGACGAGCUCUUCAAGGCACAUUUUGCUUUCGCUGUGUCCUAUAAUGAUGCACUGUCCAGCUUCUUCACAUUCAUCCAGAGCACCGUGUAUGGGAUCGAUGCAGGCAGUGUGAAGGAGAGGGUCAAGGAAAUCAGAGCAAGGCUUCUUCACUGCGCACUUUGAAAAAAACACAUUUUUGACCUGAAGUAUGUACACCUGUUACAUUUGCAAGGCACACCACACAUCUUGUUCAGUGUAAUUCAGUCAUUUGAAGUUCCAGCAUGGAUUGUUGCCCGCAAAGUCUUUGAGCUUGAACUGUGGAGAGCCUGAAUGUUCUUUUGUUUUCCGCACAUACUCUGGUUACCAACGUCACUUAUCUCGAGCACAUGGGGACUGUCUUGAUCCAGAUCCUGUCAAUUUUGAGAUUGAGCCUAUAGCUGGACCUUCGACAACAAUGAAUGUUGAUCCCCCUAUCACUCACUACACACGUUCCUGUUCAACAAAGGAACAUUUUGGACAUGGCCAGCUCUGUUGUUGCUCAGGUUAAAGCCUGGUACUGUGCAGUCUCUAGUUGGCUCAAUGGAAGAACUGUUUUGAUCAGCUAGAAAACCCAUUUUCACGUCUUAACACAGAAUCUAAAAGGAAGAGGUAUUUUGAAGAGAAAUGGAAGAUAGUACAACCUGUAGAGCAUGUUCUGGGCGUUCGAUUUGAUGUAAGAAGAGAUAAAAUAACAGGGUUGUAUAGGCAAGUUCCAGUCAAUGAUACAUUUAUAUAUGUACCCAUCCGGGGGUCUCUCUCCUCUAUGUUUAGUAACAGUGAACUCUGUAAGAGUUUCCAAGAAGCAAAACCACAUCAGGAGAGAUUUUACAGAGAUGUAAAUGAUGGGUCCUACUUUAAGAAUCAUAAUUUAUCUUCCCAGUAAGAACAUGCACUUCAGAUCCAGCUCUACUAUGACGAUUUUGAAACUGCCAAUGCGUUAGGCUCAAAAAAGGGAGUGCACAAACUCGGAUGUGUAUAUUUUAUUUUGGGAAAUUUGUCGCCAAAGCUCAAUUCUGUGUUAAUGAACAUUCAUCUUGUAGCCCUCUUUCACUCAGAGGACCUAAACAUAUAUGGGUUCGAGCCAAUUCUGAAGCCACUGAUUGAUGAUCUGAAGAUUUUGGAGACUGAAGGAAUACAGUUGCCCUUUUCAGCUAUACCGGUGAAGGGCUCAGUCUUUUAGGUUACAGGAGACAAUUUAGGUCUUCAUGGUCUUCUUGGUUUUGUUGAAUCAUUUAGUGCAACAUACUGUUGUAGAUUUUGUUCAACUGAUAAGAGUGAAUUGCAGUCAGUUUUCAGUGAAGAUCACCCAGGUUUAUCUCUACGUUCAAAAGACCUUCACAUUGAACACAUUCGUGUCAUCCAAGAAAAUCCUGCUUUGAAAUCAACAUUUGGUGUCAAACGAGACUUUCCACUCAAUUCCUCCCAGUUUUUCCACUCCUCAAACAACUGCGCUGUAGACAUAAUGCAUGACCUGCUAGAAGGAGUGGUUCAGUACGAGCUAAAGCUUGUUUCAGUAUCUGAUCAAGAAUUCAAUAUCCUUGAGUUCAUUGUCUGAGAGAAUUGUGAGCUUUAAUUAUGGAUACACACAGAGAAAGAGCAGGCCAGGUGGGCUAAAGCUUGAUGACAACAGCAAAGAUCUGGGACUUAAUGCUAUCCAGUCAUGGUGUCUCUUACGCAAUGCCCCACUGCUUUUUGGUGAUCUAGUUAGCAGGGAGGAUAAAUGUUGGGGGUUAUUGCUCCUUUUAACUCAAAUUGUCAACAUUGUGUUUUCCCCAACUGUAACCCAUGGUAUGACUUGUUACCUGAAACACUUAAUUUUUGAACAUCACAAGCUUUUUAAAUCUAUCUUCCCAGACUAUAAUUUGAUUUCAAAACAUCAUCUAAUGAUCCAUUACCCAAGCUGUAUUAGAAGAAUUGGACCACUCAUACACAUCUGGUGCAUGAGAUUUGAAGGAAAGCACAACUUCUUUAAAAAGUCUGUUAAAAAUUUUAAACGUUGCCAUGACACUGGCUAAGAAACAUCAGGAAGAGUUAGCAUCUCAUUUCGAGAAAUUUAAGUUCAAAAGAUUAACGUUUGGUCCCAUAAGUCAAGCCUUAGUCAGCAGUUUAGAGGGUGGAGAGGCACUGAAUGAAGCUUUUGAUGUAUUGACUGUUUCCACCACCCCCUGGGUCAAAAGCUAUGGCACAGAGUAUCAGGUGGGGAUGUAUGUGGUUACUGGAGUUGAAAAUGAGAUGCCUUUGUUCAACAGGAUUGACAGUAUAAUUAUUAGAGAGGACAAUGCCUAUCUUUUAAUUUGUUAAGUCUCAGCCCUUUUUUUGAUGAUCAUUUCAAUGCAUUUGCUAUUGAGGAGAACACUGGGGUUUUCACAGUAAUAUCUGUAAACAACCUGUUACAUUACAGACCCUGUGAUAGGCAAUUUUCAUAUGACACCGAUGACCAAGUGUACCUUGUUCCAUACUGUAUUUAUGUAUGAUGAAUCCAUGCAGUUUGUUAUGCUGUCUGUUGUUAAAGUGAUGUGGUGGCCUUUUAAU